rfam:Amphimedon queenslandica AMPQTscaffold_13499_Cont995, whole genome shotgun sequence.
UAACCGGCUUUUAUCAAAGCCACCAUUCUUCCAAAAGCUCUCUU